AUUGAACGCUGGCGGCAGGCCUAACACAUGCAAGUCGAGCGGAGCGACGGACGGGUGAGUAAUGCCUAGGAAUCUGCCUGGUAGUGGGGGAUAACGUCCUGCAACGGGCGCUACUACCGCAUACUCUCAGCUGAGCCUAGGUCGGAUUAGCUAGUUGGUGGGGUAAAGGCCUACCAAGGCGACGAUCCGUACCUGGUCUGAGAGGAUGAUCAGUCACACUGGAACUGAGACACGGUCCAGACUCCUACGGGAGGCAGCAGUGGGGAAUAUUGGACAAUGGGCGAAAGCCUGAUCCAGCCAUGCCGCGUGUGUGAAGAAGGUCUUAGGAUUGUAAAGUACUUUAAGUUGGGAGGCGUUACCAACAGAAUAAGCACCGGCUAACUUCGUGCCAGCAGCCGCGGUAAUUC
rnacentral:rRNA from 1 species